UACGGGGGAGCAAGCGUUGUUCGGAUUUACUGGGCGUAAAGGGCGCGUAGGCGGCGUGACAAGUCACUUGUGAAAUCUCCGGGCUUAACCCGGAGCGGCCAAGUGAUACUGUCGUGCUAGAGUGCGGAAGGGGCAACUGGAAUUCUCGGUGUAGCGGUGAAAUGCGUAGAUAUUAGGAAGAACACCGGUGGCGAAGGCGGCCCACUGGCUCGAUACUGACGCUGAGGUGCGAAAGCGUGGGUAGCAAACAGG
rnacentral:rRNA from 1 species